CUGCUGGCUGACGGCAGAGGUCAACCUGUAUCCACCCUGCACCCUGUUUCCUCCUCUGGGAGACCCCAUAGCGUGAGAUCCAACGCUCCAUUCCGGGGUCGUGGAAGUGCUUUUUGACCAGCCCCACCUCCACCUCCAGCAUUCAUCCGAGCAACCUCAGAUGUGCUUCAGGCCCAGUGAACCCUUCAGGAGUCCUGCAGCAGAUCAUAUCCAUCAGCUCCUCCCUUGCUCUUGUUGACCACAGGAAGGGCAGCUUAACAUCGACCCCAUAUGCCUCAGCCAGCCACAGCCCAUCGUCUUACCCUGCAGGGAGCUACACCUCCCCUCUGCAGAUCACAUCACUCCAAACAAGGAGCCUCUCAUGGCGGGGCAGUAAGUCCUAGACAGGCUGAAUCAAAUUACACUCACAAUAACAUUUACAUUUUAGGCGUUUGGCUGACACCCUUAUCCUGAGCCACUGGCAGCAUGCAGGAGUACAGCCAGCUUUAAUCUGUGCUACAGGAAACUAGAAGUAAGGAGGUCAGUGGUCAGAGAGAUAGUACCCUGAUGUGCAGAUUAAAAAAAACAAAAAACAUUUAACUGCAUUUCCUCCUGUAAGAA